CAGCAGCCGCGGUAAUACGUAGGUGGCAAGCGUUGUCCGGAAUUAUUGGGCGUAAAGGGCUCGCAGGCGGUUUCUUAAGUCUGAUGUGAAAGCCCCCGGCUCAACCGGGGAGGGUCAUUGGAAACUGGGAAACUUGAGUGCAGAAGAGGAGAGUGGAAUUCCACGUGUAGCGGUGAGAUGCGUAGAGAUGUGGAGGAACACCAGUGGCGAAGGCGACUCUCUGGUCUGUAACUGACGCUGAGGAGCGAAAGCGUGGGGAGCGAACAGGAUUAGAUACCCGCGUAGUCCCUGUCUCUUAUAC
rnacentral:rRNA from 1 species